AUCCUUUGCUUUGUUUGGUUCGAGGUUAAGAAAAAAGUAGUUAUUUCAGUAAGUUUAGGAUUAAAGUGGGAUUAAAAUUUUUUUGUAUUUGGUUGGGGGUUGGAGUUACUCUAGAAUAAUAAAAAAUAGCGUUUGGUUAGAGUAGGUGGGAUAAGAAGAUAAUGAUUGAUAAAGAAGGAUAAUGAUUGGUUGGAGUAGGUAUGAUAAGAAAGAUAGUGGGUUAUUAUGAAUAGAAAAAAGUAUUUGGUUGGAGUUUGGUAGGGUUAGGUGGGGUUAGCUAAUCCGGAAUAAUUUAUUUAAGGUGGGAUUAGGUGAGGUUAGCUAAUCCCAUCUAUUUUUUGGAGUGUUUGGAGAUAAAAUGGGGGUUAAGGGGUUAUUCCACCCUUAACCCCCAACCAAACAAGGGCAAAAGGAUUUUAGUUUG
rnacentral:lncRNA from 1 species